rnacentral:lncRNA from 1 species
AAAACAAAUACUUUAAAAAAACUGAAAAGACUUAAAAAUUUAUAUUUUGCAAAUUCCUUUCUUUUUCUAGUUUUUACAGAAUAUAUAUUUUUCAGUUUUUAAAAGCAUUUUUAAAAAAAAAAUUUCAGGGCAUUAUUGAUCCAUUUUGAAUAACACAAGGGCAUUAUUAGACCAUUUUAUAACGGCAGAGUCAUUUUUGGAUUCAAAUGUAAACGGAGGUUAUAAUUGAUCCAUUUCAAAUACCACAAGAUCAUUUUUAGGCCUUUUCCCUAGUUAAAAUGUUAAAUACUUUUGAAGAACUUGCCCUGCUACUCAUUGUUGAUUUUGCACUUCAAUAAGUAUAUAAAACAUUAGUUAGUAAAUAAAUAUAAUAAUAAUCACUUUCUCAAUGUAAAAUUUACCAGAAAGGACUUGUAUGAUUAUUUUGAUCUUACCGUUCCAAAAAGCUCUCCUUUUCUGUUAUUUGCUUGAACACUUCCAAUUCAGAAAUGAGAUAUGAAACACUGACCUUAAUGCAAUGCUCUGCCGUAAAAAGACAAUGCUAUGAAAUCUGGAAUAAAGGAGUAUUUAUAGGCGAGAGAAAAGCUAGGGUUAGAGAAUAGUUCCUUCUGAUUGAGAAUCAUAUCUCCAUCAAAAUGCCGAUUUUGUAGGUACAUAAAAAUCUGAUUUUCUGAGAAAAGCUUUUAGUGAACGAAUCUUCUGAGCAAUACGACAAAGAGCUUCACAAAAAAGGAGGGACAAAAUCUGUUGUGAAGAAGGGGGAGUUAAUGAAAUUUCACAAAAAUGGAGUCAAUCAAUUGAUCGGCUUUUCUGCGUCUCGUACACCCCUCCAUUAUUGAUGGUAAGGCUGCAAAAAGUUUGGCAAAAGAUAAAAAGCAGAGAUAGAGGCAUAGCUUUCACGCCUCAGCUGCGUCUGCAGUUUGUUUAGGAGAAAAUUAAAUGAGAGGGUGUUACAGGGUAGUAAAAGCGUUUCUUUG